rnacentral:miRNA from 1 species
UGAAGAAACUGUGUUA